AUACGAAAGGUGCAAACGUUGUUCGGAUUUACUGGGCGUAAAGAGAGUGUAGGUUGUUUAUUAAGUCGGAUGUGAAAUCCCGGGGCUCAACCUCGGAACUGCAUUCGAUACUGGUAGAAUAGAGUUCGGGAGGGGUAAGCGGAAUUCCGUGUGUAGCAGUGAAAUGCGUAGAUAUACGGAGGAACACCUGAGGCGAAGGCGGCUUACUGGACCGAUACUGACACUGAGACUCGAAAGCGUGGGUAGCAAACAGGAUUAGAAACCCCAGUAGUCC
rnacentral:rRNA from 1 species